rnacentral:rRNA from 1 species
GAUGAACGCUGGCGGCGUGCCUAAUACAUGCAAGUCGAGCGAACAGAUGAGAAGCUUGCUUCUCUGAUGUUAGCGGCGGACGGGUGAGUAACACGUGGGUAACCUACCUAUAAGACUGGGAUAACUCCGGGAAACCGGGGCUAAUACCGGAUAAUAUUUUGAACCGCAUGGUUCAAUAGUGAAAGACGGUUUCGGCUGUCCUUUAUAGAUGGACCCGCGCCGUAUUAGCUAGUUGGUAAGGUAACGGCUUACCAAGGCGACGAUACGUAGCCGACCUGAGAGGGUGAUCGGCCACACUGGAACUGAGACACGGUCCAGACUCCUACGGGAGGUAGCAGUAGGGAAUCUUCCGCAAUGGGCGAAAGCCUGACGGAGCAACGCUGCGUGAGUGAUGAAGGUCUUCGGAUCGUAAAACUCUGUUGUUAGGGAAGAACAAAUUUGUUAGUAACUGAACAAGUCUUGACGGUACCUAACCAGAAAGCCACGGCUAACUACGUGCCAGCCGCCGCCGUAA